AAGUGUCAGCCGCCGCGGUAAUUCCAGCUCCAAUAGCGUAUAUUAAAAUUGUUGCCGUUAAAAAGCUCGUAGUCGAACUUCGGGCUCUGUCAGCCGGUCCGCCUUCUUGGUGUGUACUUGUUUGACGGAGCCUUACCUCCUGGUGAACGGCGAUGUCCUUUUCUGGGUGUUGUUGCAAACCAGGACUUUUACUUUGAAAAAAUUAGAGUGUUCAAAGCAGGCCUUUGCCCGAAUACAUUAGCAUGGAAUAAUAAAAUAGGACGCGCGUUCCCAUUUUGUUGGUUUCUGAGAUCGCCGUAAUGAUUAAUAGGGAUAGUUGGGGGCAUUUGUAUUCCGUCGUCAGAGGUGAAAUUCUUGGAUUGCCGGAAGACAAACUACUGCGAAAGCAUUUGCCAAGGAUGUUUUCAUUGAUCAAGAACGAAGGAAGGGGGAUCGAAAACGAUUAGAUACCGUUGUAGUCUCUUCUGUAAACUAUGCCAAUUGGGGAUCGGUACAGGAUUUUUAAUGACUGUAUCGGCACCCGAAGAGAAAUCUUUAAAUGAGGUUCGGGGGGGAGUAUGGUCGCAAGGCUG
rnacentral:rRNA from 1 species